GGUGAGAUGGCUCAGUGGGUAAGAGCACCUGACUGGUUUUCCGAAGGUCCAGGGUUCAAAUCCCAGCAACCA
rnacentral:tRNA from 1 species